rnacentral:tRNA from 1 species
GGGCAAUUAGUUCAGUUGGUAGAGCGUUCGCUUUGCAUUUCCCCCUCCCAGCAUGCGAAAGGUCGUGAUUUCGAUUAUCACAUUGUCCA